rnacentral:misc_RNA from 1 species
GAUGAAGAACGCAGCGAAAUGCGAUAAGUAAUGUGAAUUGCAGAAUUCAGUGAAUCAUCGAGUCUUUGAACGCACAUUGCGCCCCCUGGUAUUCCGGGGGGCAUGCCUGUCCGAGCGUCAUUGCUGCCCUCAAGCCCGGCUUGUGUGUUGGGCCCCGUCCCCCUCUCCGGGGGACGGGCCCGAAAGGCAGCGGCGGCACCGAGUCCGGUCCUCGAGCGUAUGGGGCUUUGUCACCCGCUCUGUAGGCCCGGCCGGCGCCAGCCGACAACCCAUCAUCCUUUUCAGGUUGACCUCGGAUCAGGUAGGGAUACCCGCUGAACUUAAGCAUAUCAAUAAGCGGAGGA